rnacentral:tRNA from 1 species
GCACUUGUAGCUCAGUUGGUUAGAGCAUUGGUCUUAUGAGCCAAAGGUCUGCGGUUCAAAUCCGCACCUGUGCA